rnacentral:lncRNA from 1 species
GAGAGAGUGCGUCUCUAACUAACUCCGCGACAGCUGACGUCCCAUCCGAGGUGGCAGCAUCCCCGCCGUUAUAACUCCUGGAGAUGGACAGCCACGAUCAACCUGAAAACAAACAAGUAACGACCUGGGAAUGGAAAUUCCCAAAUCGGCAUUUAUCAGAGAAACCGCCGGCGACGGUGAUCCUCUGACGAGCUCGAGCAAGCUCCAUCAAUCUACUCCUUACUCUAGCUCCUCCGUGCGCAGAUUUCGUACCCCGAUACGGCCUCGCAUCUCUUGAAAUUUUAACUUUCCAAGAGCUUUGGUGAAUACAUCAGCCAAUUGAUCCUCCGUCCGAACGUAGCAUAUCUGGAUCUUCUUGUCUUCAACACACUGCCGAAUAAAAUGAUAUCUCGUAUCAAUGUGCUUGGUUCGGUUGUGGUGGACUGGGUUCUUGCUCAAAGUAAUGGUCGAUUGAUUGUCCACCAUCAAUCUCACAGCCUUUUGCUCCUCGCCCUUCAUCUCACUUAUCAGCUGAUUCAUCCAUAUUCCUUGACAGGCUGCUGAUGUGGCUGCAAUAUACUCAGCUUCACAUGAGGAUAAAGCAACGAUACUUUGCUUCUGUGACGACCAGCUGACUGGUCUUCCUCCGAGGAAGAAAAUGUGACCAGAGGUGCUCUUUCGAUCACUAACAUCUCCUGCAAAGUCACUGUCACUGAAGCCAAUUAAGUCGUGAUUUAUCUCACCUUUCACAUAGAGAAUUCCGUAGUCAAGUGUGCCUUUGACGUAUCUCAGAAUGCGCUUGACUCCGCUGAGAUGCUCCACAGCCGGAUUCUCCAUAAACCUACUCAAAAUUCCCACCGAAUAGAGUAAGUCAGGUCUGGUAUGAGUCAAGUACCUCAAGCUCCCGAUUAAACUCCUGACCUCAGUGGAAUUCACCCUUUCACUGCCUUCACUGUAGGUGAAUUUCGCUCGAGCUUCAAGUGGAGUAGACACUGCAUUGCAGCCUUCCAUUUUUGCAUGCUCAAGAAUCCUCAGAGCAUAGGCUUUCUGAGACAAUAGGAUAAACUCAUCAGUCUGCUUUACCUCGAGUCCCAGAUAUGAACUUAGUGAUCCAAGAUCACUCAUGGCAAAUUUGAGCUUCUCAUUUCUGCCUUGAACAUAUCUAUUCCUCUUGAGCUUGACCCUGUGACAAUCAAAUCGUCAACAUACACUCCCACAAUUAGGACUUCAUUGCCGGAUCUCUUCAGAUAUAGAGCUUGCUCAUAUUGACUCUUCACGAACCCAAGUGAGAGUAGAUUCUGAUGAACUUGAAGUACCAGGCUCUCGGGGCUUGCUUCAAGCCAUAUAGAGCCUUCUUUAGCCGGAAAACAUGAUCUUCUCUGCCUUUCACAGUGAAUCCAUCGGGUUGCUUCACAUAGAUAGUUUCUUCAAUUUCACCAUUGAGAAAUGCGGAUUUGACAUCAAGAUGAUGAAUCAUCCACCUCUUCAUAGCUGCUAAGGCAAUUAGAGCCCUGAUUGACUCAAAUCGGACCACUGGAGCAAAUACCUCUUCAUAGUCAACCCCUUUUCUUUGUGAGUAGCCUUUGACCACGAGGCGGGCCUUGUGUCUUAUCACUUCUCCUUGUGGAUUCUUCUUUAAUUUGAAGAUCCACUUUAGCCCAAUUGGCUUGUAAUUUGCUGGAGAGGGCACUAGUUCCCAUGUUUGACUUCGGUCCAUGGCAAGCAUCUCCUCCUUCAUGGCUUGCCUCCAUACUGCCUCUUGAGAAGCUUCAGAAUAGGUGUAGGGUUCUUCCCCCGUCAGCAUACAUGUCUGAUCAUCUAGAGUCAUAGGGGUGGUCUCUGUAUACAAGUCAGAUAUUGACCUGUAUCUCGGGGGUUGACUGUCUUCAGAGUCACUCUAAGGAGCUGAAAUCACUUCACGUGGAGUGGGGACCUCAUAAUCAAUGCAGUCGACUUCGUCUUCUAUACUCUGAUCAGGGAGAAAAUCAAGUGAGAAUGUAAAGGAAUUCGAAAAUUCACCUUGCAUUGACCAAGUCCACUUCUCUACUUCUUUGAAGAUCACAUCACGACUGAUAGUAACCUUAGAGUUGACCGGGUCAAAACAUCUAUAGGCCUUCGAUCCAACCUCAUAACCUAUGAAAAUCAUAGGUUGACUUCGGUCUUCCAGCUUACUCAGGUGUCCCCUGGUAUUCUUCACAUGGACAAUUGACCCAAAAGUCCUCAUAUGGUCAACUGAUGGCUUUCUCCCAGUCCACUUCUCGUACGGAGUUUGACCCUGCAAACUUUUGAUGAAAGACCGAUUAAGGAUGUAAAUAGCAGUACUUACUGCCUCUCCCCAUAGCUCUCUAAGGAGGUCUUUUGCCUUCAGCAUGGCUCGGACCAUGGACAUCACAGUCCUAUUCUUCCUCUCCACUACCCCGUUCUACUGAGGUGAGUAAGGCGCGGUCAAUUGCCUCUUAAUGCCAUGUGAUACACAAAAAUUUGAGAAUUCAUGUGAUGUGAACUCUCCUCCUCUAUCGGACCUGAAAGUCUUAAUCUUCGUCCCUUUCUCUGUCUCUGCCAGAGUCUUGAACCGUCUGAAGGCUUCAAAUGCAUCAGACUUCUCCUUCAACAUCACCACCCAUGUUAGCCUCGAAAAAUCAUCAAUAAUUAAGAGGAAAUACCUGCUUCCCCCUAAGGUGGGUGGUGAGAGAAUGUCGGCAUAGAUGAGUUCUAAAGGCUCAGAUGCACGAAAUGAGGAUGCCUGAGGGAAUGCCACCCGAUGUUGUUUUCCGGCAACACAACUUCGGCAGAGUUGACUUGGCAGGUUGAUCUAUGGAAGUCCGUCUACAAGCUGCUUACUGGACAUCUCUUUCAACGUAUGAAAGCUGAUAUGGCCAAAAUGAGUGUGCCACAGCCAAUUUGCCAGAUUGUCUUCAGUGGUGACAAGACAUUGAUCCACUACUCUGAGCUUCAAUAGGUAGAGUCUGCCCUCGGACCUCUGCACUUCAGCGAAUAAUUGACCAUUGGAGUCAAAGACAGUCAGCUUACCUCCAGCCAUGGUCAUACGACAGCCUUCUUCAUCCAGUCGAUCGAGACUGAGGAUAUUUGCCGCCAAAUCAGGUACGAACAGUACACUGGGAAGCCGGAGAAUUCCCCCAUUCUUCUGAUUGAUCUCAAUGUCACCACGUCCUUCAAUUCGGAUCUUCAAAUUGUCCCCGAAUUUGACAAAGCCUGAUGCUGAUUCGUCCAGAUCGCAGAAGAAAUUCCGGCGUCCUAACAUGUGGUUUGUUGCUCCCGUAUCUAGAUACCAGAGAGCUGGAUCGGAGAGUGCACUCUCAGAUCCGUGAAGGAGCAAAUCACUUGCCUCUUCUACUACAGCCAUGAGGAGGGAGGAAGUCGCCGGCGCCGGAGCAGAGGAGGUCUCCGCUACCACUUCCGGAGUGGACUCAGCCACAUAAGCCCAAUCUUCUCUCUCCUUCUUCGCACUUCGACAUUCGUAGGCGAAAUGUCCAUAUUUCUGGCAAUUAUAACACUAUAUUGCCGAUUUAUCAAAUGAUUUCUUCUCCAUGUUGUCUUCAGGAGGCUGAUUUCGUCCUCGGCCUCGACUUCUGCCUCUUCCUCUGCCGCGGCCGCAAUGACAUCCUCUGCCACGAGAUGAGGACUCCUCCUCACUUGAGACUUUUACCUUGCUCAGCACCUUGGCCAGCAAAGCCUGCUCCUCUUCACGAGAUUCCCGAUCUUUGAGCCGUAAUUCAUGAACGGUAAGUGAGCCAAUUACCUCGUCCAAGGUGACUCUGUCCAAAUCUCCGUAUUGCUCCAGGGACAGAGUGAUUGCAUCAAAUUUUGAAGGCAUCGCCCUCAGGAAUCGGCGCACAACUUCUGGCUCCGGUAGCUUCUCGCCCAAAUUCCUCAAAUCAGAGAGGAUUUGUGUGAAUUUCAUGCUGAAAUCCACUACGGAGUUAGUCUUACUUAUCACAAGGUUUUCGAAUUCACGCUGCAGGCCUUGAACAUGAGACUGCACGACUCGUUCCACUCCGAGGUUGCGCUGCUUCAGAAUCUCCCAGUUUUGCUUAGCUGUCUUCUUCGCGUCAAGAACAUGUAGCAUAUCUUCCGGAACGCUGCUGAUGAUUGCGGACAAGGCCAGUCGGUCCUUCUUCUUGGGUACAUUGUCCCCUACGAUUGCUGGCCACAAUUCAUGCGAAUCGAGAAAGACCUCUAUACUCAUCGCCCAAACGCGAUAGUUCGUCCUGGAUAGCUUCAAGGAAGGAGCAGGAAUCGUCAUCUCCUGUCCGUGCUCUACGGAGGUGCUCGCCUCAGUCGCCUUCUUCGCCAUUCUUGAUCCCUGUGGAGUCGAGUAGCUCUGAUACCACUUGUUGGCUUUGCAAAGCCAAAGAACGCUCCAAGAACUUCCGGAGAUGGAAGGAAAUCAAGAAAAUAAGAGAAAAACCAACUUCACGUGAUGAGAAAUGUUCUGUUGACAUAUCGUCGAACACUCAGCCCUUUAUAUAGGGCAGCCAAUAGGGGCUAAGGAGAGAGUGCGUCUCUAACUAACUCCGCGACAGCUGACGUCCCAUCCGAGGUGGCAGCAUCCCCGCCGUUAUAACUCCUGGAGAUGGACGGCCACGAUCAACCUGAAAACAAACAAGUAACGACCUGGGAAUGGAAAUUCCCAAAUCGGCAUUUAUCAGAGAAACCGCCGGCAACGGUGAUCCUCCGACGAGCUCGAGCAAGCUCCAUCAACGUCCAGCUUGACCAGGGAAGGAGAUGACAGGAUGGCGGCGCAUUCCCGCUGUACAUCUGAGAAGCGGGAGUAGGUAUGAAGGCCUACUGCGUGUGCCUCUCGGUAGUGAUUGCGGAAGGAGGCGCCGAGGCACAAGGAAGACAACCAGAGGACUAUCCAUAAACAGGGAGCCGAAGGGGGCCGCAUC